rnacentral:rRNA from 1 species
UACGGAGGGAGCAAGCGUUACUCGGAAUUAUUGGGCGUAAAGAGCGUGUAGGCGGCCAGGUAGGUCUGCUGUGAAAACUCGAGGCUUAACCUCGAGCUGUCGGCGGAAACCAUCUGGCUAGAGUCCGGAAGAGGAGAAUGGAAUUCCCGGUGUAGCGGUGAAAUGCGCAGAUAUCGGGAAGAACACCCGUGGCGAAGGCGGUUCUCUGGGACGGUACUGACGCUGAGACGCGAAAGCGUGGGGAGCGAACAGG